AUUGAACGCUGGCGGCAGGCCUAACACAUGCAAGUCGAGCGGAUGAGAGGAGCUUGCUCUUUGAUUCAGCGGCGGACGGGUGAGUAAUGCCUAGGAAUCUGCCUGGUAGUGGGGGACAACGUUUCGAAAGGAACGCUAAUACUGCAUACGUCCUACGGGAGAAAGUGGGGGAUCUUCGGACCUCACGCUAUCAGAUGAGCCUAGGUCGGAUUAGCUAGUUGGUGAGGUAAUGGCUCACCAAGGCGACGAUCCGUAACUGGUCUGAGAGGAUGAUCAGUCACACUGGAACUGAGACACGGUCCAGACUCCUACGGGAGGCAGCAGUGGGGAAUAUUGGACAAUGGGCGCAAGCCUGAUCCAGCCAUGCCGCGUGUGUGAAGAAGGUCUUCGGAUUGUAAAGCACUUUAAGUUGGGAGGAAGGGCAGUAACUUAAUACGUUGCUGUUUUGACGUUACCGACAGAAUAAGCACCGGCUAACUCUGUGCCAGCCGCCGCUGUAAUAC
rnacentral:rRNA from 1 species